rnacentral:rRNA from 1 species
GACGGAGGAUGCAAGUGCUAUCCGGAAUCACUGGGCGUAAAGGGUCUGUAGGUGGUUUUUUAAGUCUGCUGUUAAAGCUUGAAGCUCAACUUCAAAAAUGCAUCGGAAACUAGAAGACUUGAGUAUGGUAGGGGUAGAGGGAAUUUCCAGUGAAGUGGUGAAAUGCGUAGAUAUUGGAAAGACCACCAAAGGCGAAGGCACUCUACUGGGCCACAACUGACACUGAGAGACGAAAGCUAGGGGAGCGAAUGGG